rnacentral:lncRNA from 1 species
CUGAGCUUUCCAAACAACAUUAUUUCUGUUAUGCCACAAAGCCCAACAUAUCAUUAGAAUAAGGGAAGCAUUCUCCGCAGAAGCAGUAAGGAAGGCUAAAGAGAACCACUCCCUAAGAGAGGCAGCGGAGAAUGCAGGCCAACCCAAAGGCGAACUCAACCAGCAACUGCGGGCAAAAGGACACUGAACAAGAAUAUGUAGGAUAGUCUCAGGAGCCUCAUGACACAACGGACACAUCGAAUCAACCGGAACUCUCCUAGACUGAAGUAAAGAGAGGCAAGGAACUACAUUAACUAAAGCACGCCAGCAG